ensembl:lncRNA
AUGCUGAUUAAGUCACACCUUCAGAGCUUCCAGGCAGGCAGGUGUAUUGGGGUGUGGUGGAAAGCUGAAUUCACCAGCUAUUUAACAGGCUGUAUUGCCACUUCCUUUGGUUCUCUUUGUCAUUUCACUAUUUUCUUUACUGAAAUUGCAAUUUUUAAGAGUCUCUCUGCAGGUGGAAUGCCUCCUGUCCCUCAAGUGGCUCAGCAGCUUAGCCAGGAGGAAAACCAACAGCGAAAUGGACCAAAUUUGUCAAGUUUGCUUAAUUCCUUACCUGCUGCACACAGCAGGAACCGGCUCUGGCCCAGCAGGUACAACCAGCAGGCUGGGAUAAGAACCAUGUGCUUGUGGUCCCAGCUCCAGUUCCCUCACAAGAAAAGCACACAGACUGGUCUCUCUUUGAUGUGAUUGGGAUGAAAAACCAAAUUACUUGCUAUGAAGCACAGAUGCUUCCAAAACUGAAUGUAACUGGAAAGCUUAUUGAAGAGAUCUGCUGCUCCCCUUCAUCACUCAGACUUGAGCCACUGAAGCUCAAACCAAAUAAGGUAUGUAGUGCUCACGUGAUUGGGGUUUUUUUUUAUUAUUUUUUUUUAAAUAACAGAUGAAAAAGAGUAAUAUUUGUGAAGGCUGAGAGGAUUCAUUCAGAAUUACUUGUUUCUUUCUUUUAGCUUUUGUUUCCAAACUGAUCACUGCAAAAGACUUUCUGCCUUUGAAGUCUUCUCCCUUAGUGUUCUGAGGGAAAGCAGUGUGCUUCUUACUGCUUGAUAGAUAUUUGCAUUUAUGAAAGCUCAGUUUUGAUCUUUCUGGCCACGCUCAAGGGUUGAAGUCACUUGUGGUUUUGGUCAAACACUGAAAAUUACUUCUGGAGUAGAGUUUCCUAAGCAGAAUAAUUAACUCUUCUCUUUCUAGUUAAUUUUCAGAUGAACCUGCAAACGACUUAAUUUUUUUUUUUUUUUUGGGGGGGGGGGGGGGGGGGGGGGGGGGGGGGGGGGGGGGGGGGGGGGGGGGGGGGGGGGGGGGGGGGGGGGGGGGGGGGGGGGGGGGGGGGGGGGGGGGGGGGGGG